rnacentral:rRNA from 1 species
GACGAACGCUGGCGGCGUGCUUAACACAUGCAAGUCGAACGGAAAGGCCCUGCUUUUGUGGGGUGCUCGAGUGGCGAACGGGUGAGUAACACGUGAGUAACCUGCCCUUGACUUUGGGAUAACUUCAGGAAACUGGGGCUAAUACCGGAUAGGAGCUCCUGCUGCAUGGUGGGGGUUGGAAAGUUUCGGCGGUUGGGGAUGGACUCGCGGCAUAUCAGCUUGUUGGUGGGGUAGUGGCUUACCAAGGCUUUGACGGGUAGCCGGCCUGAGAGGGUGACCGGCCACAUUGGGACUGAGAUACGGCCCAGACUCCUACGGGAGGCAGCAGUGGGGAAUAUUGCACAAUGGGCGGAAGCCUGAUGCAGCAGCGCCGCGUGCGGGAUGACGGCCUUCGGGUUGUAAACCGCUUUCGCCUGUGACGAAGCGUGAGUGACGGUAAUGGGUAAAGAAGCACCGGCUAACUACGUG